rnacentral:lncRNA from 1 species
UUUUUUUUGUAAUUAAUAAACUAUCAAGCAAAAAAAAAUUAUAUUUCUUUAUACUUUUGAAUUUUUCAUUUAACUAUAUUUGAUUUAGAAUUUUUACUACUUGAUUUUUAUUACUUGGCACUUUUUUUUUUUUUUUUUUUGUUAUUUAUAACUUUUUUUUAAAAAUCAUACCCAUUAUAUAAGUUUUCUUCUUCAUUUUUUAAAUCUUAUAUAUAUAUAUAUAUAUGUAUAUGUAUAUGACAAAACCUUGUUUUCUUUUAAAAUAAUUUGGUAAAGUUUUUUUUUUUUUUGAUUUUUGAAAAUUCCUUAAAUAUUUAUAUAUACAUUAUAUAAUUACCGAGUUUGAUGUAAAACAUAAAAAGUUAUAUCAUAUUAAAAAAACUAUAUAUAUUUUUUUUUUGUAACCAUCUGUAAUAAAAAUAUACAAAAAUAAAUAGUAUAAUUUUAUUUGCAUGGAUAUAUAUAAAGUUUUUUGAUGAAAAUAUAACAUAUUUGUUAGAAGUUUGUUUUUAUUUUAUUAAGUGAAAAUUAAUCAUAUAUGUGUAAUAUAUACAUAUAUAUAUAUAUUAUAUUAUAAUAUGAGACCUUAUAAAAUAUUACAAAAAGCAAAAGCAAGUCAAAAAGAUAAUAAAAAAGAAACGAAUAAUGAAGAACUAAAAAAACACAGAACAUAUGAAAUUAAUAAUAGCAAAAAACAUACUAGUGAACAGAGAAGAGUAAAUGAUGAUAGUCGUUACUAUGAAAGUAAUAGACGAUAUAAAACUAAUAAAAGUGAAGAAUAUAACAAGACAAGAAAUGAAAAAAAAUAUAAUUCUACUACAGGAGGAACCAAUAGCUAUGAUAAAAAAUAUACUCAACAAUAUUAUAGGCCUCAUAUGAAAGUUAAGAAUGAAUCUAAAAAUGAAGGAAAAAUAAGAAAGGAAAAAGAAAAAGAGAAAGACGAUGUAUUAAUAUCUUCAUUAAAAAAAGAAUACAGUAAUAUAAAAAAAAAAAAAAUAAUAAUUAGACAUUUACCUCCAAAUUUAAGUGAAGUUAAUUUUUUUGAUUCAUUUUCAAAUAACUUGAAAGAGGAAUUAGAUUAUUAUUAUUAUGUUAACGGAAGUAGAGGAAAAUAUUCUACAAAUGAAGAGGAUAUUAUUCACUCACGUAUGUAUUUAUCUUUUAAAGAUGAUUUAAAAACUGAAGAAUUUAUAAAAACACAACAGGGGAAAUUCUUUUAUGAUACUAAUGGUUCUAAGUAUAAAGCAAAUGUUUCCUUAGCACCUAACCAAACAAUAAUAUACAAAAAUAAAUCAGAUGAUAGAAACAAUACAAUUGAUACAGAUGAAUAUUUUUUACAAUUUUGUGAAGAAAUGAAUAAAUCACCUGAACCUAUUAAAACAGAUACACUUGAUGAAAACGAAAUAAUUAAUGUAGUUAACGAAAAUGGUACUAUUAUACCACCUAUAAUAAUCGAAUUAAGAAAAAAAAUAAAAAAUAAUAAAACAGGUUAUAUAAACAUCAGAAGAGUCGACUAG